UACGGAGGGUGCAAGCGUUAUCCGGAUUCACUGGGUUUAAAGGGUGCGUAGGUGGGUUGGUAAGUCAGUGGUGAAAUCUCCGUGCUUAACAUGGAAACUGCCAUUGAUACUAUUGAUCUUGAAUUUUGUUGAGGUAGGCGGAAUAAGUCAUGUAGCGGUGAAAUGCAUAGAUAUGACUUAGAACACCAAUUGCGAAGGCAGCUUGCUAAACAAAUAUUGACGCUGAGGCACGAAAGCGUGGGGAGCAAACAGG
rnacentral:rRNA from 1 species